rnacentral:rRNA from 1 species
UACAGAGGGGGCAAGCGUUAUUCGGAAUUAUUGGGCGUAAAGGGCGCGUAGGCGGCUUUGCAAGUGACGGGUGAAAUCCCUCGGCUUAACCGAGGAACUGCCUGUCAAACUGCAUGGCUUGAGACCGGGAGAGGUGAGUGGAACUCCCAGUGUAGCGGUGAAAUGCGUAGAUAUUGGGAGGAACACCAGUGGCGAAGGCGGCUCACUGGACCGGUACUGACGCUGAGGCGCGAAAGCGUGGGGAGCAAACAGGG